CUGUCUGGGCCUCCCUGGGCUCUGCCUCCCGUGCCUACUGAGCUGAAACACAGUUGAUUUGUGCAGACUGGCUCAGUUCAGCAGGAACAGGAGUCGAGCCCCCUCGGAGCCUGUGGCGCC
rnacentral:precursor_RNA from 12 species